rnacentral:rRNA from 1 species
ACAUGCAGUCGAGCGGUAGAGAGAAGCUUGCUUCUCUUGAGAGCGGCGGACGGGUGAGUAAUGCCUAGGAAUCUGCCUGGUAGUGGGGGAUAACGCUCGGAAACGGACGCUAAUACCGCAUACGUCCUACGGGAGAAAGCAGGGGACCUUCGGGCCUUGCGCUAUCAGAUGAGCCUAGGUCGGAUUAGCUAGUUGGUGAGGUAAUGGCUCACCAAGGCGACGAUCCGUAACUGGUCUGAGAGGAUGAUCAGUCACACUGGAACUGAGACACGGUCCAGACUCCUACGGGAGGCAGCAGUGGGGAAUAUUGGACAAUGGGCGAAAGCCUGAUCCAGCCAUGCCGCGUGUGUGAAGAAGGUCUUCGGAUUGUAAAGCACUUUAAGUUGGGAGGAAGGGCAGUUACCUAAUACGUAUCUGUUUUGACGUUACCGACAGAAUAAGCACCGGCUAACUCUGUGCCAGCAGCCGCGGUAAUACAGAGGGUGCAAGCGUUAAUCGGAAUUACUGGGCGUAAAGCGCGCGUAGGUGGUUUGUUAAGUUGGAUGUGAAAUCCCCGGGCUCAACCUGGGAACUGCAUUCAAAACUGACAAGCUAGAGUAUGGUAGAGGGUGGUGGAAUUUCCUGUGUAGCGGUGAAAUGCGUAGAUAUAGGAAGGAACACCAGUGGCGAAGGCGACCACCUGGACUGAUACUGACACUGAGGUGCGAAAGCGUGGGGAGCAAACAGGAUUAGAUACCCUGGUAGUCCACGCCGUAAACGAUGUCAACUAGCCGUUGGGAGCCUUGAGCUCUUAGUGGCGCAGCUAACGCAUUAAGUUGACCGCCUGGGGAGUACGGCCGCAAGGUUAAAACUCAAAUGAAUUGACGGGGGCCCGCACAAGCGGUGGAGCAU